rnacentral:misc_RNA from 1 species
GCAGCGUGUAGCAAUGUGUUUUCAUUUUGCACGUGUGUUUGGUUCUUUGAAUUACCGGUAAUUAAUUAAGAGUAUAUUCGUCUACACGUUUCGAAGAGCUUCACGAUGGCUAGUCACGACGUUUCGGCUGUGAAGAAAGUAGGCGAGAUUUUAUGCAAUCCUCAAAAUCCCCUGAAGCAAAGAUUCAGGGCGCUUUUCACGCUAAGAAACCUAGGAGGCAGUGAAGCAAUCGACUGUAUAUCAGCUUGCUUUGAGGAUACGUCGGCCCUUCUGAAGCACGAGCUUGCAUACUGCCUGGGACAGAUGAAGGAUCCCUAUGCAAUACCCGUCCUUGUAAAAAUUUUGGAAGACCGAGAGGAAAAUUCCAUGGUUCGUCACGAAGCUGGUGAAGCACUUGGGGCUAUUGGCAGCAUUUCAUCUUUGGAAGUGUUGAACAAACACUGUUCAGAUCCAAUGGUUGAGGUAGCUGAGACCUGUCAGCUGGCAGUGCGGCGGCUGAAAUGGCUUCACCGACCCGAGAGUGAGCGCGAAAACCUGUCUGCGAAUCCGUACAUGUCAACGGACCCGGCGCCCCCUAACGAGAAUUGCGACGUGGCAGUCCAGCGGGCGAUACUCCUGGAUGAGAGCGUUCCGUUGUUUGAGCGAUACAGGGCCAUGUUUUCGCUGCGUAACGCAGGAGGAGAGGAAGCGGUGCUUGCGCUAGCAGAAGGUCUCGGCUGCGGCAGCGCCCUCUUCCGGCACGAGGUGGCCUACGUACUCGGACAGAUGCAGCAUGGCGCGGCGGCGCCACCGCUCGCGCGCGUGCUGCGCGACGCUGCCGAACACGCGAUGGUGCGACAUGAGUGUGCCGAGGCGCUGGGAGCGAUCGCGGGCGAUGGCGCCACGGGGGCGCUGCGAGCGCACGCUGACGACGCCGAGCGCGUCGUGCGCGAGAGCUGCCAGGUGGCGCUGGACAUGUGCGAGUACGAGAGCGGCGACCAGUUCCAGUACGCCGACUGUCUCGCGGAGGCGAAGGUCGCAGAGGCCACCAGCUGAAGGUCGCAGAGGUCACAAACUGGAGAUUGUGGAGGUCACAAGGUUAAUGUCGCGCUCACGAGCUGGAGGUCGUAGAGGUCGCAGAGGUCACGAGCUGGAGGUCGUAGAUAUCGUGAUCUCAGGCCCGGGUUGGAAGAGCAUCAAGUUAACAUGUCGGCGUGAUGCUGGGACCUGGAUUGUCUCCGCGGGAUGCAGGUCCACCGACAUUAAUAUAUAUUAUCGGCGCGGCGUUGAAGUUUUUAGUAAAAUAAUGAUCGCAUCUGUUUUUGUGACUGCGCAAACCAUUAAGGAAUGUCUGAGAUUCUGUAUAGUCAGAAUAGUAUAUAAUCAGAAUAUAAUUUUCACGUUCAACAGAGAAAAAAUUGAUCAGUAGAAUGAAAAUAUAUGAUAAAAAUCAUUGUAUUGGACAUAUAUCAUAAAAACACGAACUCACACGUAAUAGACCUUACAUUCGUCACUAUGUAAACAGUUCACAAAUUGUCAGCAACCAGAUCGUGGGACAUGAAUAAGUAGGUACCACUGCAGUUAAGUACAGUACAGUUGUUUAAGAGUGGAAUGCAGUUCUUUACUGAUAUAUAUAGGUUAUCUGCCUUGGGAUUAAAGUUCAUAGCAAUAAAAUUUCUUUUGAAGAUUA